UACGUAGGGGGCAAGCGUUGUCCGGAAUCAUUGGGCGUAAAGAGCGUGUAGGCGGUUCGGUAAGUCCGCUGUGAAAGUCCAGGGCUCAACCCUGGAAUGCCGGUGGAUACUGCCGGGCUAGAGUCCGGAAGAGGCGAGUGGAAUUCCUGGUGUAGCGGUGAAAUGCGCAGAUAUCAGGAGGAACACCGGUGGCGAAGGCGGGUCUCUGGGCCGAUGACUGACGCUGAGGAGCGAAAGCGUGGGGAGCGAACAGG
rnacentral:rRNA from 1 species